rnacentral:rRNA from 1 species
UACGAGUGCCCCGAGCGUUAUCCGGAAUUACUGGGCGUAAAGCGUGCGCAGGCGGUUCGUUGUGUCGGCGGUGAAAGCCCCGGGCUUAACCUGGGAAUGGCCGUUGAAACUGGCGAACUGGAGUGUGGCAGAGGGGGGUGGAAUUCCGCGUGUAGCAGUGAAAUGCGUAGAGAUGCGGAGGAACACCGAUGGCGAAGGCAGCCCCCUGGGCUAACACUGGCGCUCAGGCACGAAAGCCAGGGGAGCAAACGGG